rnacentral:rRNA from 1 species
UACGUAGGGGGCGAGCGUUGUCCGGAUUUAUUGGGCGUAAAGAGCGUGUAGGCGGCCAGGUAGGUCCGUUGUGAAAACUCGAGGCUCAACCUCGAGACGUCGGCGGAAACCCUCUGGCUAGAGUCCGGAAGAGGAGAGUGGAAUUCCUGGUGUAGCGGUGAAAUGCGCAGAUAUCAGGAAGAACACCCGUGGCGAAGGCGGCUCACUGGCCCGAUACUGACGCUGAGGCACGAAAGCGUGGGGAGCAAACAGG